rnacentral:rRNA from 1 species
AGUGAACGCUGGCGGUAGGCCUAACACAUGCAAGUCGAACGGCAGCACAGUAAGAGCUUGCUCUUACGGGUGGCGAGUGGCGGACGGGUGAGGAAUGCAUCGGAAUCUACUUUUUCGUGGGGGAUAACGUAGGGAAACUUACGCUAAUACCGCAUACGACCUACGGGUGAAAGCAGGGGAUCUUCGGACCUUGCGCGAUUGAAUGAGCCGAUGUCGGAUUAGCUAGUUGGCGGGGUAAAGGCCCACCAAGGCGACGAUCCGUAGCUGGUCUGAGAGGAUGAUCAGCCGCACUGGAACUGAGACACGGUCCAGACUCCUACGGGAGGCAGCAGUGGGGAAUAUUGGACAAUGGGCGCAAGCCUGAUCCAGCCAUACCGCGUGGGUGAAGAAGGCCUUCGGGUUGUAAAGCCCUUUUGUUGGGAAAGAAAAGCAGCAGGUUAAUACCCCGCUGUUCUGACGGUACCCAAAGAAUAAGCACCGGCUAACUUCGUG